AUUGAACGCUGGCGGCAUGCUUUACACAUGCAAGUCGAACGGAAACAGGCCUUUGGGUGCUGACUUGUGCCGAACGGGUGAGUAAUGUAUCUGAACGUCCCCAUGGUAGUGGGAUAUCGCAUCCAAAGCUGUGCUAUUACCCCUCAUGAUCUGAGGAUGAAAGAGUGGGGCCUCUUAGCACUGCUUGGCCUCGCGCCUUUCUAGCGCCCGAGGUCGGAUUAGCUAGUUGGUGGGGUAAAGGCCUACCAAGGCGACGAUCCGUAGCUGGUCUGAGAGGUCGACCAGUCACACUGGAACUGAGACACGGUCCAGACUCCUACGGGAGGCAGCAGUGGGGAAUAUUGGACAAUGGGCGAAAGCCUGAUCCAGCAAUGCCGCGUGCGGGAAGAAGGCCUUCGGAUUGUAAAGCACUUUUAGCAGGGACGAAACGGUGUAAGCUAAUACCGGGAGCUAAUGACGUUACCAGCAGAAUAAGCACCGGCUAACUACGUG
rnacentral:rRNA from 1 species